ACUAUUCUCUUUAAAAAUAAAAAUAAAAGCCCCUUUUAUCCUCUCUAGCCCCUCGAUUCCAGGCCAAGAAUCCGACCACUGCCUGCUGCAUCGGCCACCGAUCGAUGGCGACGGUGUCACCGUCCAUGGCAGCCGGAGGGCCAAAAGUCAGAUUUUUUUGUAGAAUCAAAGAAAACAAUGGGUACGGGGCGAGGAUGUGGAUGUACAAAGGUCGUGGCGAGGGCAGCGUGUGGGAACAGCGGCACCAGAAGAGGUUAGGUUGGGGCUAGGGUUUCUGAGGGUGUUUAAGUUUUUUGGGCCUUUUGGGCCUUGUAAUUUUGGGCUUGGGAUUUUUAUUUUGGGUUUAGUUUUGUAAUGCAUUGGACUUGGAGAUUUUAUUUGGUUUUAUAUUUUUUUCAGGCCCAAGCCAAAAUUGACCUAUUACAAUAAUUUUAGAAAAAAAAUUAUGAAUUUU